rnacentral:misc_RNA from 1 species
UUUCCGUUGGUGAACCAGCGGAGGGAUCAUUAUCGAGUUUAUAACUCCCAAACCCUAUGUGAACUUACCACUUGUUGCUUCGGCGCGCGCUUCGGCGCCGCCGAGGACACUUAAACUCUUUGUUUUUAUAAGCACUUCUGAGUGGCCGAAAGGCAAAAUACAAAUGAAUCAAAACUUUCAACAACGGAUCUCUUGGUUCUG